rnacentral:rRNA from 1 species
CAGUUGAGCGCUGAGGUUGGUACUUGUACCAACUGGAUGAGCAGCGAACGGGUGAGUAACGCGUGGGGAAUCUGCCUUUGAGCGGGGGACAACAUUUGGAAACGAAUGCUAAUACCGCAUAAAAACUUUAAACACAAGUUUUAAGUUUGAAAGAUGCAAUUGCAUCACUCAGAGAUGAUCCCGCGUUGUAUUAGCUAGUUGGUGAGGUAAAGGCUCACCAAGGCGAUGAUACAUAGCCGACCUGAGAGGGUGAUCGGCCACAUUGGGACUGAGACACGGCCCAAACUCCUACGGGAGGCAGCAGUAGGGAAUCUUCGGCAAUGGACGAAAGUCUGACCGAGCAACGCCGCGUGAGUGAAGAAGGUUUUCGGAUCGUAAAACUCUGUUGGUAGAGAAGAACGUUGGUGAGAGUGGAAAGCUCAUCAAGUGACGGUAACUACCCAGAAAGGGACGGCUAACUACGUGCCAGCAGCCGCGGUAAUACGUAGGUCCCGAGCGUUGUCCGGAUUUAUUGGGCGUAAAGCGAGCGCAGGUGGUUUAUUAAGUCUGGUGUAAAAGGCAGUGGCUCAACCAUUGUAUGCAUUGGAAACUGGUAGACUUGAGUGCAGGAGAGGAGAGUGGAAUUCCAUGUGUAGCGGUGAAAUGCGUAGAUAUAUGGAGGAACACCGGUGGCGAAAGCGGCUCUCUGGCCUGUAACUGACACUGAGGCUCGAAAGCGUGGGGAGCAAACAGGAUUAGAUACCCUGGUAGUCCACGCCGUAAACGAUGAGUGCUAGAUGUAGGGAGCUAUAAGUUCUCUGUAUCGCAGCUAACGCAAUAAGCACUCCGCCUGGGGAGUACGACCGCAAGGUUGAAACUCAAAGGAAUUGACGGGGGCCCGCACAAGCGGUGGAGCAUGUGGUUUAAUUUCGAAGCAACGCGAAGAACCUUACCAGGUCUUGACAUACUCGUGCUAUUCCUAGAGAUAGGAAGUUCCUUCGGGACACGGGAUACAGGUGGUGCAUGGUUGUCGUCAGCUCGUGUCGUGAGAUGUUGGGUUAAGUCCCGCAACGAGCGCAACCCCUAUUGUUAGUUGCCAUCAUUAAGUUGGGCACUCUAACGAGACUGCCGGUGAUAAACCGGAGGAAGGUGGGGAUGACGUCAAAUCAUCAUGCCCCUUAUGACCUGGGCUACACACGUGCUACAAUGGAUGGUACAACGAGUCGCGAGACAGUGAUGUUUAGCUAAUCUCUUAAAACCAUUCUCAGUUCGGAUUGUAGGCUGCAACUCGCCUACAUGAAGUCGGAAUCGCUAGUAAUCGCGGAUCAGCACGCCGCGGUGAAUACGUUCCCGGGCCUUGUACACACCGCCCGUCACACCACGGGAGUUGGGAGUACCCGAAGUAGGUUGCCUACCGCAAAGGAGGGCGC